rnacentral:rRNA from 1 species
AAUCAACGCUGGCGGCGUGCCUCAGACAUGCAAGUCGAACGCGAAAGGUUCCUUCGGGAACCGAGUAGAGUGGCGCACGGGUGAGUAACACGUAGGUAAUUUGCCUUUGGGUGGGGAAUAACUCAGGGAAACUUGAGCUAAUACCGCAUAAUGCAGCGGCUCGACAUCGAGACAGUUGUUAAAGCGGGGGAUCGCAAGACCUCGCGCCUAAAGAGAAGCCUGCGGCAGAUUAGCUAGUUGGUAGGGUAAUGGCCUACCAAGGCAACGAUCUGUAACCGGCCUGAGAGGGCGGUCGGUCACACUGACACUGACAUACGGGUCAGACUCCUACGGGAGGCAGCAGUCGGGAAUUUUGGGCAAUGGGCGAAAGCCUGACCCAGCCAACGCCGCGUGAAGGAUGAAAUUUUCGGAAUGUAAACUUCGCAAGAACAGGAAGAAUAAGUAGAAGAUAAUACCUU